UACGGAGGGUGCGAGCGUUGUCCGGAGUCAUUGGGCGUAAAGGGCGCGUAGGUGGCGGGACAAGCGUGCGGUGAAAGCCUGGGGCUCAACCCCGGGUCGGCCGUGCGAACUGUUUUGCUUGAGCACUGUAGAGGCAGGCGGAAUUCCGGGUGUAGCGGUGGAAUGCGUAGAGAUCCGGAAGAACACCGGUGGCGAAGGCGGCCUGCUGGGCAGUAGCUGACACUGAGGCGCGACAGCGUGGGGAGCAAACAGG
rnacentral:rRNA from 1 species